rnacentral:rRNA from 1 species
CUCUCAGCUUAUUUUGCGCAGCUUAGGUGGGAGACGUUGAACUUCUUUUUCCGGAAAGGAGGGAGUCAUCAGUGAGAUACCACCCUUGGUAAGCUAGAGCGCUCAUUUCUAACCGUUAUCCGGUAGAAAGACAGUUUCAGGCGGGCAGUUUGACUGGGGCAGUCACCUCCCAAAAGGUAAUGGAGGUGUACAAAGGUUCGCUCAGGCUGGACGGAAAUCAGCCAUAGAGUGUAAAAGCAUAAGCGAGCUUGACUGCGAGACUGACAUGUCAAGCAGAGACGAAAGUCGGUUUAGUGAUCCGACGGUGCUGAGUGGAAAGGCCGUCGCUCAACGGAUAAAAGUUACUCUAGGGAUAACA